AACGAACGCUGGCGGCAUGCCUAACACAUGCAAGUCGAGCGCCUGUAGCAAUACAGGAGCGGCGCACGGGUGAGUAACGCGUGGGAACCUGCCCUUAGGUUCGGAACAACCGCGGGAAACUGCGGCUGAUACCGGAUGAUGUCUUCGGACCAAAGAUUUAUCGCCUUUGGAGGGGCCCGCGUCGGAUUAGGUAGUUGGUGAGGUAACGGCUCACCAAGCCUGCGAUCCGUAGCUGGUCUGAGAGGAUGACCAGCCACACUGGGACUGAGACACGGCCCAGACUCCUACGGGAGGCAGCAGUGGGGAGUAUUGGACAAUGGGGGCAACCCUGAUCCAGCAAUGCCGCGUGGGUGAUGAAGGCCUUCGGGUUGUAAAGCCCUUUCGGCGGGGACGAUGAUGACGGUACCCGCAGAAGAAGCCCCGGCUAACUUCGUGCCAGCAGCCGCGGUAA
rnacentral:rRNA from 1 species